rnacentral:lncRNA from 1 species
UACAAGUUAUGUUUAUAAAUAAUUACAAAAAGACUUCAGGAUAGUAGAAGAUUUGAAAACAACAAGAGACUCCUGAAUGUAAGAGAUGAAAGCCUGUUCCAAUCUUAAUAUUAAGAAUCAUCGAGCUUAUUUUCAAUCGACUGUCACUAUUGUCUAAUCUUAUUGAUGGUAUCAAUAAAAAUGAUUAUUAUGAUAUUAUUGUG